GGCAAUCUAACAACGUCGCGCGGUCUAAUCAAAUCUGUCAGUUUGCUCAGCUGUCAAACGCGAAACUACUAAAAUGACUUCUCACUUUCAAUACAGAUACUAAAAAAAAAACGCUUAAAAACAAUUUUGAAUAUGACAGAGGCAAGAAAAUCGCAAAAAAACGAUAUGUCAAGAUCGAAAUCUUCAAUCACUUCUCGAAAUAUUGCGGGCGAUUUUAUGAACACCCUAUAGCAUAAGUUAAAAAAUAUAAAACAAGCAAUAUAUAUAUAAUACAAGUUUAUUCGUAAAUUCUGAAAAUAAUACGACCGUAAAUUCUCAUCAGUCUACAGUUCUUUACACCGUAGAUUGAUGAUCAAUCUUUUGAUCGCUAGUAUUCUAACAAUUAUGUUUCUGGGAUAUUCCGGUCUAGGUAAAAAGACAAAAUAAAGAAACUCUUUUCUGUCUCGUGAUUCAACAUAUCAACAACAACUUUGUUAUAUUAUAUUAAUAGAAGAAAAAAACUUAAAACAAAAAAAUUAAAAUUUGACAAUAUCUGAAGUGUAAAUUCUUUAUUAUUGAAUUAUCGCGGUUUUAUUG